rnacentral:rRNA from 1 species
GGGGCGCAGAUAAGAAGGCCGGGCGACUGUUUAACAAAAACACAGGUCUGUGCUAAGGGGAAACCUACGUAUACAGGCUGACGCCUGCCCAGUGCCGGAAGGUUAAGGGGAGCGGUGGAAGCUGCAAACUGAAGCCCCGGUGAACGGCGGCCGUAACUCUAACGGUCCUAAGGUAGCGAAGUCCCUUGUCGGGUAAGUUCCGACCCGCAUGAAUGGUUGAACGACUUGGCCAUUGUCUCGACGGAGGGCUCGGUGAAAUUGCGGUGCCCGUGAAGACGCGGGCGACCCGCGGCAGGACAAAAAGACCCCGUGGAGCUUUACUGUAGCCUGGUAUUGGGCUGGGAGCUGUCAUGUGUAGGAUAGGUGGGAGCUGAGAACCCCGACGCCAGUCGGGGUGGAGCCUCGUUGAAAUACCACCCUUGCAGUUUUUGGUUCUAACCUCGCAAUGCGGGACAGUGCCUGGUGGGCAGUUUAACUGGGGCGGUUGCCUCCUAAAAGUAACGGAGGCGCCCAAAGGUCCCUCAGGACGGAUGGAAAUCGUCCACAGAACGCAUUGGCAUAAGGGGCUUGACUGCGAGACCUACAAGUCGAGCAGGGACGAAAGUCGGGCAAAGUGAUCCUACGGCACCGUGUGGAAGGGCCGUGGCUUAUCGGAUAAAAGCUACCCCGGGGAUAACAGGCUUAUCUCGCCCAAGAGUUCACAUCGACGGCGAGGUUUGGCACCUCGAUGUCGGCUCGUCCCAUCCUGGGGCUGAAGGCGGUCCCAAGGGUCGGCUGUUCGCCGGUUAAAGGGGUACGUGAGUUGGGUUCAGAACGUCGUGAGACAGUUCGGUCUCUAUCCGCCGUGGGCGCAGGAGGCUUGAGGGAACCUUUCCCUAGUACGAGAGGACCGGGAAGGACAGACCUAUGGUGUUCCGUUGUUCCGCCAGGAGCAGCGCCGGGUAGCCAUGUCUGGAUGGAUAAGCGCUGAAGGCAUCUAAGCGCGAAGCUCCCCCAAGAUGAGGCCUCCCUCCCCGAUUUAAGUUUGGGGGUAAGACUGCAGAGAGACUAUCUGCUUGAUAGGCCGGAUGUGUAAGGUUGGUAACACUUCAGCAAACCGGUACUAACCAGUCGAGAGGCUUGACCCA